UAUUUUUUGAAGUUACAAAAAUUCCUAGAGUCAGGUGGUUCGUGUUUUGAGCUUGCGGAAUCGUUAGUGCAAGCUUGAGCCGUCAGACGGCCCUGGCUUACCUUCAAGGCGCGCAAUCAAUACACGCGCGAGUCCGUAGGGUAGCGACUAGCCCUGUACCGCGAGCGAGCUUUCAGUUCGACAUUGGGCCGCGCUGAAAGCUCACCGGGGACACGGAGUGUCAAGGUGGUGAAAGUAUCAGCGAGCAAGAGGUGGUGGCUUACGGAGAGAAGGACAAAGAGGCGGAGGAGAAAGAGGAGGAAGUGGCGGCGGCAAAAUGGCGUCGACGAGGGGAAACAAAUGACGGGGAGCUUUUGCAAAGCAUUGCUGACACUUUCGAAUUCCUUAUGGAGGUUACCCAUGUAAUCGACGAGAGUUCCGAGGACUUGAUUCUUGUUUACGAAUAAUCGUGACGUCACUUUUUUCAUUUAUACCUGCCAAGCGUGCUUGGGAAGGCAUACAUUUGUGUUGUUUUAGCCCUUUUUUGUUGUCCCUUUGUUUUUCAAAAAGUGUAUACAAACACAUUGCUCGCUCACGAUUCAUUUCUAGUUUUAAUGUAACGUCCGUUCGGUGCGACACGUUUCAGUUGGUAUUUUGAUCGCGUGAGAUGCAGACGACUCGCGUCGGGUUUUUUCUACGUUGUGUACUACGGGAUAACGGACUGUUGCGUUGUCGAAUUAUCGUCGGGGUUAUUUUUCUAGUAGUCGGUGUGCUGUAGAUUUUGUAAGUUUUGUUUGAUGGGCCCUCGGAAAGUGUGGACGCAAAAAUGCAUUUGCAUUUCGAGAAGAAUAACAACGCCAAGUGUGACUGCAAUAUCCUGUCUCUCAGUUGGAUGGGAAAAGUACCGGACGAAUUGCCCGAGGACGAAGGAUGGAAGCUGAAUCGUACAAAUUACUACCAGGAGGGAUGGCUGGCUACUGGCAAUGCUCGAGGCCUGGUUGGAGUUACGUUCACUACCUCCCACUGCAGAACAAGGGCUGCCGAAUUACCGCUUCGUGCGAACUAUAACCUCAGAGGCCAUCGGAGCGAGGUUAUACUCGUCAAAUGGAACGAGCCGUACCAGAAGCUCGCGUCUUGCGACAGCUCCGGCGUGAUAUUCGUAUGGAUAAAAUACGAGGGUCGGUGGAGCAUAGAAUUAAUUAACGACCGAAACACACCCGUAACACAUUUCUCAUGGUCGCACGACGGAAGGAUGGCGCUCAUAUGUUACAGGGACGGUUUCGUACUGGUUGGCAGCGUUGCCGGGCAAAGAUACUGGUCGUCGAUGCUCAACGAUCAAGCUACCAUCACAUGUGGCAUUUGGACCCCGGAUGAUCAACAGGUAUACUUCGGUACUACUGCUGGACAAUUGAUCGUUAUGGAUGUCCACGGUGCCAUGGUGUCCGAGGUCCAGUUGGCAGCUGGUGUGACGUCGAUGGCUUGGAGUGCUGAGAAAUUUAAGAUGGAGGAAGGUGACGAUGACGUCAGUGGUAAACAAUCGCAGCAAGACGAUCGAAGUUACGUUCUGGCUGUUUGCCUCACCGACGGUAAUAUCGUGAUGUUGCGGUCCUUCGACGACGUCUCACCAAUCACCAUAAGAACCAGUCUGAAGGCGCCCCUCCAUGCUGAAUGGAGCAAUUCAAGAAAGCUCUUAGCAAUAGCCGGCACCAGGGAUUCCGAUAUCCUUCAGAUGAAUCCUCAAGAGUACACAAAUCUUCUUAAAUUCUAUUCCGAUACUGGGACUCUGGUAUACACCACGGCCAUUCCAUAUACCCAGUGUCCGGUGUCGGCUUUGACCUGGGGUCACAACGACAGGCGUCUUUUCGUCGCUACGGGGGCGCGAGUUCACGCUGCUUGGGUCUCCAGGAGGGUGGGUUCUCUUCAGCUACUGUCGAGGCUGGCUGUGAGGGCGGCGCUCACCAGGGAAUCCAGCGUACAGCAGCUACCACUACCCCCAAGACUAAGGGCGUUGGUCGCGGCUCUCUUCGCCAGUACAAUAAGGUGCUGUGUACCUGAACCAAGGGAACUGAGGAGGUUCGUCUCGAGACCACCUCCUGGAGGUGGACGACUUCAUUGCACGAUGCUCAGGCAUGCUGGUGAACCUGCCCCUUGCUAUACCUUGUACUUAGAGUAUUUGGGUGGUCUGGUGCCACUGUUGAAAGGUCGUAGGACCAGCAAGAUUCGGCCGGAAUUUGUUAUAUUUGAUCCUCAGAGUCAGGACACUCUUCAAGUACCGGAUUAUAUCACGCAGUGUCCUUCCUUUAGUGAUGGUUCUGAUACUGAGAGAGAUACUGCGGAUUUGUGUGGUUCUCCCAGGAACAGAAGGAAAAAUAGAAGGAGAAGAGAAGAGAAAUCUAACGAGGAAACUGAUGAUCUUGCUUAUGUAGACACUUUGCCAGAGCACGCGAGACUGGUCGAGGUCACGUCUAAUAUUUGGGGCACAAAGUUCAAGAUUCAUGGUCUUGCUGACUCUGUUCCUGCUAAUCUUGGACAAGUCACUUACAGGACAUCGCUGUUACACUUACAGCCUAGACAAAUGACUUUGGUGAUGACGGAGUUACGGGAUGAUUUACCGGCAGGUCCAGAUCCAACGUUCAAUCCUAACCUUUUUUCGGAGGACGAGGAGGAGAUCUUUCAGGAACCUCCCGGUACCUCCAGAGGUCCUCCGGAAACUCAGCCACCCCCAAUCGCUCCGAUGACUCCAAGAAAUACACGGUUAAGUGGAAAUCGACCGAAGUCUCAGAUAUCCAAUCAAUUUCUUGCUGCCGAAACGCUGUCGCCAUCUUCGGCGCGCGCUGAAAAUUACGAAGAUGAAUUUCCCUACGUGGAUCUGCAGGAAGUGGUGAAUUUCUGUGAAAGUCUUCGUGCCACUUCCGGAAACACGUACAGAACCCCACCGAGGCACAAUGCGCCGAGAUGUUGCGACGUACCGACAUUGCAAUCACCAAAGAAUGCAGUGGCGCCAACGCAAACGCUGAUAGCUACGUCCAAUCCGAGCACCGAUUACUCGGGUAACAUCCAACGUGUGAAAACAGCCCUGGCCGAUCAACAAUCGAAUAUGGCGAUCAAGAAAGAUCUAGAGAACAAUAAGAUCAAUCAGAUCUCUGAUGACAAGACUAAUCUAACCGCAAGUCUAGGUCCAAUCAUUCCCACUUCCAUUCAAAAUUGUCAGGUUCCCAGUGGUGGAGGAUUAAAUUCUGGACCAUGCUCUCAAAAUUCAAUUAUGAACGGUUUGAACUCUACCAGCAGCUGUUCUCAAUCUCAGACUGUAUUUCUGAACGGCUUGAACACGAGCAGCGUCCAAAAUCCGCAUAUCCAAACGACUCAAAACUCUUUGAACUCCAAGAACAAUUUGAAUAUCGCGAUAAACUUGACUAUCAUGAACACCACUAGCUUGAGUUCAUCACAGACAAGUCCAAUUCCAGUAUAUACAAAAAAUAGUCUAUCAAAUGGACCAGGAUCACCAACGUGUUCCCAUCAGUUACCUGGAAACUCGAGUCAGUGUCAUUCACCCCAGAGUAACGCGAGUGUUCCCAAUCAAUGCGUGCUGAAGCGUAAAGAGAGCAAGAGCCUGGGCUGCUGCGCAAAAUCAAAUUCGAAUACAAAUCAAAUCGGCGCCUCGCCCGGUAAAUCCGAAGAGUUACGUUACAUAGACGAAGAGUCUAGUUCAGAGAGUAACAUACAAUUUCGUGGAGUUCACAGAACACCCACUGUAGUAAGUAUCGGUCCAUUGUGUCUGGCGGAUCCUAUAGUAAGAAGCUGUAGCGUGGGAUAUCUGGACCUCGUGGAUGCUCAACUGGUACCGUGUGACGUUGCUCUAAGGAUGCUACGAAAAGAGGCACCGAACAAAAGGCUCGUUUUGGUUUCACGAAAAACUAAGAAGAAACGAAAAAACAAAGCCCAGCAAGAGAUGAGCCAACAGAGUGCAAAGCCACCGAGAUUGAAGAACUGUGGCAAGUCCAGGAGUCUGGACUCCAGCGAUAUAUUUCCCAGUACUGAGCAAAUAGCGUCCGCGCCACAAUUACCAGAACACGUCGAGGAGGUACCGGAAAAUGGUACAGCGGAUGCUGCGGAGUAUAAGACCAACGAUGCCAUUGGCAGAGACCCCGUAGAAGCUUCGGUGAAGCUAAACGGAUCAAUGGCGGAGAAAAAUGGGACGGACAGUAAAGAACCCACUGCUGAGAAACCAAAUCGAUUGGAGGCAUGUCCCUCGUCCGCGAGGGGUUCCAGUCCAAGUGGCUCCUUAGCAUCUUCUCUCGAUGGUCUUGCUGCGCGACUUCGGGACUUUGAUGAGAGUCACUCCUUGCCACCUCCGUCACCUCGUCCAUCAUCCAGGUUACCAAGAAGUUCCCCAAGUAGUCCAGCGCCGUCGAAGAAAGGUAAAAGGCCGGCGUCGGCGUCGCCCAUUAGGAGAAGGCUACUUUCAAGUCCUUUGCUCAGUAGAAGGACUCGAAAAAGUCGGGGUGAAAGUUCGGACGACGAAGGAGCUAUACAGGACGAGACCUCGAGGAGUUACCGUAACUUGGAAACAUUUCAAAAGGCACAGCUACGUCAAAAGUUGAAACAGAGAGGGGCGUGUAUUUCGAACCAGAAACCGGAAGUUAUCAGACGUGAAUUAGUAAUGCACAAUAAGGCGCCAAUGUGGAAUGAAUCCAGUCAAGUUUAUCAACUUGACUUUGGCGGUCGAGUUACGCAAGAGAGCGCUAAGAAUUUUCAAAUUGAAUUUCGAGGCAAACAGGUGAUGCAAUUUGGACGGAUUGACGGAAAUGCGUAUACGUUGGACUUUCAAUAUCCCUUCAGCGCUUUGCAGGCAUUUGCCGUUGCCCUGGCAAACGUUACGCAACGGCUCAAGUAACCAUCACUCUCCAGUACUUCAUUCGAUAUAUGUACGGAUUUGAUUGCAAUUGGUCAUGCACUUGAAUUAGUCGUUGUCAAAAAUUGUUUCGUAUUGCGUCACGUCUAGAUCUCUGUAUUUCUCUGAGCUUUAUUCGCACGGCGUUACGUCAUAUUGAUAUUGAAACAAGGCACUGUACAAAUAUCCUAUUGCAUAUGAUCCGUACGGAAUUUGGAAUACGAGUAUUAAAGAUAAUUUUUUAUAAGGCUCCAAUUUUUUUCUUUGAAUUAUUCACGAAGGCUGAACACGAUAACUCCGCUGGAACUGAUAGGGUAAACUGGAAUGAUACGGCAGAACCAGAAUUGCAGUAUUUAAAUGAAUAGAUGCAUCGCGCAAGAGUGGAAAAUAAGUUUGAAUUAAAAAAGUUUAUCUUGACAGACUGGACUAGGGAAUUACCGUGUGUUCAAUUUGAAUGAACGAAUGUGUUAAUGUAAGGUAAACGAGUAUGUUCCAUGGCGGAUAUUAUAUAUACAUUACAUUAAAGGAUUGGCAAUAAGGGAAAGUAAUUGCCGUAAAUAAAUGAUCGUACGAUUCCCUUAGCCAGUGAUUUAAAAUAAUGAAAAAAAAAAGGGAGUCGUAUCAGCAGUCGUAAAUCGCUGACGCACCGUGUGACUGGUGACUCAAAAAAAAUUCUUUGGCUCUUACGUUAAAUGCUUUUGACUGUACCGUCCAAAACGUUUGGUUUAUCCCAAUUGUCAAGCGCUCAUUUGUAUAGUUUAUACAGUAAACUAACGCGUUAGAUUAUAGUUAAAUGCUGUUGAAAAGUGUCUCGUUUUUUUUUUUUCGAUUUGCUGGAUAUUCGAAUUUUAUAUAUAUUGGAUCUACGUCCUAUUUCGUCUUGACACGAGCCGAUCCCGUUGUUCGAUUAAAUGGUUCUUGAAAGCGAUGAGAAAGAAAAUGUCCGGCCUGAAUCAUCGUUGAAAUUUGCGCGACAGGUUACGCAAGAUAAAGGCAUAGGUAUACUGUAAAUGUAUACAGCUACAGAUGCAUUCACUCAGAUACACAGUAAAUAUAUUUACACAGAUAGUUAUGAGAAAUAAAAAAAAAUAUAUUAUUGCUCUACUAACGAGAUAUGCCUAAGCGAUUGAUAGAUCCGUGUCAGGCCUAUAAAAAAUGAUGCAACAACACUGAAAGUUUUUACGGGAUCAAAUUUUGAGUUUGGCUCGUUCGAGUGUGAAAAAUUAUGAAAGAAUUGUAAAUGUAGUGCACGACGAAGGAACGUAUUUUUUUCUAUGAUAUAGAAAGAUUGUGAGAUUUUAUUGUAACAGGAAUUUUUAAUGAUUAUUAAUGACUACGAUACAUUCAAAAAUGACAAUUUCGAGUGAUCAUUUAUGAAACUUUUAAUGUAACAAAAAGGCUCGUGGUUCGUAUAAUUUUUGAAAGUUUCCAAAAUUUUUACGAUCCUUCGUCGCGUUUCCUCCAGGGAUUUUCUUAGGUUGGAAACACAUGCUUUUUGAUUAAUCAUUGAUUAAUCAAAAAAUGAUUAAGACUAAUAUCGCGCGUAUAUUCGAAGUUUGAAUGUGUUUCCUGGCGAAAAUUUUGAAAUUUAAAAGAAACUAAUUGUUACUGUUUAAGGAUAAAUGCAUUCCUCGAACGGAACCAUACUCUUUAUUUGACGAUAAUAAUGUAUAAAUAUAUAUGCCAGAUAUUCGACACUAAUAAUCGGAAUAAUGAUCGAUAGAUCGUGCGUUAUUUAAAUUUCUAAAUAAUCUAUAUUACGGAUUAAUGAUUGUGUUGAGGCUGUAGUAUGUAUGUACUUAAUUGUCGAUGUUGAGUUUGAGUUUUGCACGAUGUUGCACUGUAAGCCUUGAAUCGCGAACUCCGGGAUUAUUCACAUAAUUAGUGGAUUACAUUUUUUAAUUUAAUUAUUAUUGCAUUGACCCGUAGUAGAACGACAAUCUUUUUUUUUAAUAACAAAGAAGGAACGCAUAAAUCUUCAAGCUCGAAUAUGACUUGUACUAUAAAGGAUCCUGCAAAGUGAAUAUUGUUUAGACUUUUCUGUUUUUUUUUUUUUGAAAAUUGUUAACGUCGCUGGGAAUUGUGAAUGAGAUUUAAAAAAAAUUAUUUUUCAUUGAAUUUAAUCAACUUUCCCGUUUCAAGUGUUGCAUAUACAAAGUAGAUGUAAAUAAUAUGAAUUAUUUAUUUUAAGGAAGAAUGCAGGAUCCACCGUGAGUUCGCGUCUUCAUUGUGAUAUAACUAUAUUUCCAAUAAAUUGUUACGAAUAAUUUUAACGAUGAAUGCCGAGCAAAAGGGGCUUAAGUCACGCCUCUAGAAAGUGGCGAAAUGUUGGCCUGAAAGUAUCAUACGCCUCAGGUAGUGAAUUCCAGUUUUAAUUGUUGUUCCCAUUAGGGUAAGCGAAUAUAAAAUAUUUUCAAUUUGAAACAUAAACAUUAUAGCAUUUCUGGAUUUUCGUGGGAGAUGCUCCACGAUGAAAUGUGCAAAUUGAUAAAUGAAAUAAUGGAGCACAGAUUCGUUAGAAAAAGAAACAAAAUGAUAUAAAAUUGCAAUAGUAACGUAAUAGUGUGAAUGCCUUAUAAUAGUUUGCAUUAAUUAAUGAGGCUCGUGACUGAGUUCCGAGAUGUUCGGCCUAGCUCAAGAUACAUAGGUCUACGUUAAUUAGUUGCUCGUAUUUCUUUUUUUUUUUCAGUUGGUACCUUCGUAUUUUAUAAAUGUAAUACUAAGGCUAUGCUUGACGAAUGGAAAAAACGGCGGCUACAUUAUAUGUGAACAUUAAUGACUGAGUAUAUGUUACGAUACUACGAUUACGCAGUAUCUCAAUUGAAUCAGUAUUGUUUUUAUUACGUGGAGGCAUUGUUGAUUAAUUUUCGCCACAGCGCAAAACGAUUAUUCUGUAUAUGUGCAAUGAAAUUUUGUUACCGAGUACAUUAACGAUUACGAAAUAUUUGUAAAUAAACAAAAAAUGAAGACUCGAAAAAUAA